UAACUACUCCCUCCGUCCCAUAUUAAGUGACUCAAAUUUGCCCAAAUAUGGAUGUAUCUAUGCCUAAAAAGCGUCUAGAUACAUGUAAUAGAAAGUCACUUAAUAUGAGACGGAGGGAGUAGUUU
rnacentral:pre_miRNA from 1 species